GUUCAUUUUGCAUGUGCAGAUUCCUUACCAGUUUUUAGAAACAGAACUGGAAUCAACACCCGCUGUUGUUGCGCGAUCGGCUCCUACUGUUCCGCAUUGAGUGCAGAAUCGAAGAUCCCGUUGGGUUCUGUGGUCACACUUUUUUCCUGAUGGCGUGCAAUGGCUGGAUGAGCUCACAGCGGAACCGAGUUAUUUCCAGACGGUGAACAGCCAUUUUCGGCAAGGGUUCCAGAUGGGGAAUUGCCAGUUUCGGCCAAAGCCCAAAACUCUCCUCGUGCUUUGCUUCGGAUCGACGGAUGAUUUCUUAUUCACAAGUUCAUAUACCUUUUUGUGAGCUGUAAAUGAGGGUCUUGAAUACUUGCCAUCCCCUGGUUGUGAUAGUUUCCGCUUCGCUGUGCAAGCGUUAAGGCUUUGGAGUCAUGAAUGUGUUGGCUGCGUCGCCAACUGCAUGUUGGUUCAUGCCCUGAUUCGUGGAUACAACUUGCCGUUAUUCUCCAAGAAGUGCACCGACCCAGCCACAAUAUCGCGCUUUUUUACUUCACAUGGAAUUAAAGACUUUUGGAUGUUCUUCCAUUCGUCUUACAUUCGAGGUCAAUAAGGAUUGAGUGUAUCAGUUGUAACUGAAACGCUUGCAGACAAUAUUGCCGCUGCUACAUUGUUGACGAUCUUCAUUUCGAUAGGGGGGUGAGAAUGAUUCUGGACUGAAUUGAUCGAGUCAUUACUUAUCUAUUCCACGAUCUUGCAGGGAUUUUAUUGACGGUAGCUGAUCGAAAGUAUUGUGUCCAUCAUGGACCAUGCCUCCGAUCAUGAAUGUGGAUUGACUGAUGGGCAAUGCCAUGGAGAACACAUCUUCCUACUUACGUUAUGGACUAUUUUUAUAAAUUUGAUCCAAAUAUCAUAAUUCUAAAAUCUUUGUACCCUUCACACGACAGAUGUGCCAGUAGUGCGCAUCCUAAGAAUUAUGUUUUUGCCAAAUUUUGCCACUCUAAACACGAGAAAGCUCAGGAAGCAGCAAUAAGGUACGCAUAUUAUCUCUUUUCUUAGUCGAAUUCUGAUGGAGAUUAGGCCAAUAACACACGCAGAGUGAUCCACAUGAAUUUUUAGCUCAUGAAACUGAACGGGUGGUGUCGGAUUAAACUAGACAAGCCUCCGAUGUAGCUUUUGAAACACCCGACAGAUCCUGAUGAUCCUCGGCAUUGUUCGGCCUGGUGGACUUGUGAGAUUACUAUUCUACGAUUGGUCACCAUGGCUCCUUUUGAGUCUCUGCAGGAAUUCUCAUUCUUUCGGAGGAGUUUUCAACACUUUGAGUCUCGUUUGUUUCUUUGUUUCUUUUUUUCUUUUUUCGACACAGCCGGGAUAUACCCGGUGCAUUGAAUAGUGUGUGUGCUUUAAGUCUGGUUUUGAACGCAAGGGUUGAAAACCGAGUCGAUAUGCAAUGCGAAAUUGGAUGUUAGAAAAAGACUUGGGGUGCAAAUAAAUUCUAGAAAUCAAUCUACAUCUGUGGUCGGAUAUCAGUCUCCUGGUCAGAUUUCCACCGUGGUCAGACUUACGAUGCAAUAGUUAUGUUGCAACAUUUAGCUUCAAUUGUUUAGACCACUAUUGCGGGAUAGAAUCAUGCGCAUUCUUCUUGUUGAUUUACAAUUCUCUCCAGCAGGAGCCCGAGGAAGAGGAUUCCGUUCAGCUAGUGUGCACGUUGGAUUAGGACUAGAUAAAGAAAAUCUAAUAGUACAUGCGAGUUAAGGAGUCGCUACAAUCCGAAAAUCUUUUAAUUCUGUCAUGGACGAUACUGAGCAAGGCAUCAACAUCAUUUGCUAAGAGCUCACUAAAUUCCAACAUUCAGCCGGCACGCCAUUUUGCAGAGGUCUGCUCUUGUCCCCCAAAAGAAAUUUGUUCUGUUUGCUCUUGGAGACCAACUUUACUCCCGGUGUGUGAGCAACCCACGUCAGCAUCCAUGACGCGCUUCAUCAGCUCUCAUAUCACAUGAUUCUCAACAGUUUUUCUUCCCAUCCCCAAUACACAUUUUAAUAAGCUCAACAGGGUCGUUGGGUUCGAUGACACUCGACCCUCACGAAGUACGGAGCGCAUGGGAACUGCAGGUUGCAGGGCUAGGCUACGUCACACAGUUUGGAAAAGCCCCAGUUCCAAUGAAGAGCACGAGAAGGAGGAGAGGGAAGUUCUGCAACAUCCAAGAGAAAGGUUCGGUUCACAUUAACACCCUGGGAUCUCCAAAUAUCCAAAAAGACUAGUAAGCUCGAUCCAGCGGCGCGCCCACGUUCCUCUCGACUGCAGCACACAACGCAAUAAGCCCAUGCACGGUCUUACAUGGGUCCAGCCCGUCGGGCAGAUGGCGUGAUAUUCAACACUAAUCAAAAUAUGAGUCAGUCUCAAGGCACACAAAUCUAACGAUACGGUGCACCAAAUUCACGAAGUUUACAUCGCAGAGAUCCAGGAGGACGUGAAAGGGAUCGGAUCUUCGUCGACAUCGACAGAAGCCGGAUUGAGGAGAUCCAUGGACUAGGAUCAUCCGGCGAAGAUUCUCGACAAGAGUCAGCCCCGUGAAAGCGCCAGUAAGUGGAUGGCGUGUGAGAUCCGCUGCAACUCUCGUAGCCGAGACCCGUUUCCGUCUCCAAAUUUGAAGCGCGAGCUGACCAAUCGCCAUGAAUUUCAAAAAUCGAAACCCUAAACUUGGAACCCUACCACUGCGAGCCUAUGGGGGAGUCUCUAACUGACACAGCGCCAGUUGCAACAGUGUGAAAGAGGGCAUCAUGGGUCUACUUUCUGAUGAUUUCACAUUAGAUUUUUAUUAAAAUCUUCAAAAACAAAAAAAAAAUAUAUAUAUAUAUAUAUAUAUAUAUAUAAAUUUAUUUCAUUACACUUGUUAUUCCUUUUAAUUUUAUGAGUACUAAUGAGUACAAACGUCUACUGAGUUUUAGCAAUCUUAUUAUCAAAUCUAUGUAAAGCAUACAAAAGUGUUGACUGGUGAAAUCAUUAUAAUUAUUUAAAUAAAAUCAAUGAUAUUGUAGAACAAAGUAUCUAAAGAAAUAAAUCAAAAAAAUUAAAGGCAGUAGAACUUGGACAACGUACAUGGGAUCCGUCCAUCCGUCAUUCAUCCACGAAUAUAUGUCAUUCAUCACACCCUCAUUGGAAGAACACCCAUUCCAGGAUUUUAUCUUAGUUGAGUUAUAUUAUUGAUUUUCAAACUUAAAACUAGUUUUAUAUAUACAGAUAUUUAGAUUUAUAAAGAUUUUGAUGUCAUAUUAAAUAC